GGAAGCAUUGGUAGCCAACUACAGAAAAAGGAACCACAGUCCUUUGAAAGGAGAAAUGACUGGUUCAAGAUGAGGAUGAGUGAAUAGACUUUGGCAGCCCAUGAAGUUGCCCUGGAAUUAUGUUGCAAAGAAGCACUAUUUUUCAGUCUGUUUUAUACCUUAGUUGGAGUAGAGUAGUGGCAGAUAAAUAGUCACAAUAUGUCAGCUGAACUUGGGUGACAUCUCUGAAAGCAAUGGAAAAAUAUCAUGGCUGGUUUUCCCUAAGUCUUUCGGGCAUGUGCCAUCAAACAUAGUAGCCACUAGACAUUUGUGGAUAUUUAAAUAAAAAAUGAUUAAAAUUAAAUGAAUUAAAAAAUCAAUUCCUCAGUCACACUGGCCACAUAUUGAGUAUGCAAUAGCCACAUGUGGCCAGCGGCUACUGCACUGGACAGCACUGAUGUAGAACAUUUCCACUGUGGCAGAAAGUCCUAUGGACAGUUCUACUGCAGUCAUCAGUUUGCCUAAGUUGUUUUCCAGCCAGAAAUAUGAGCUUCCCACAUCGCCCCCUCUGCAAAUCCUAGUGGCCUUCCUGAUGCUUGGCUCACUCUCACCUCCACCAUGCACUGCAAGACUGCUCCACACUGCAUUUUCUAGUUUUAAAAUUUCUUGAACAGCAAUUGUAAAGUUUAGCAUACAAUGAUAUGUAGUCAGUAUUCAUGAUUUAUAUGUUAACUCUAGAAUUUUAACUAUAUUAAGAGAUUCUUGUGGACAAGAAUCGUAUUUUUCAGUUUUAUAGCUUUUUAGUGCCCUGCUCAACUCAAGGAUCAUUCUAUUAUUGUUACAUUUUCAAAGCUUACUCCAGAACAAAGCUCAAGGAUUUUGUAUGUGUCUUCUUCUAGACUGUGCGCUCUUGUAAAAUAAAAUUCAUAAUUUA
rnacentral:lncRNA from 1 species